rnacentral:lncRNA from 1 species
ACACAUUUGAAGUGAGUUGAAUUUACCAAUUAGAAGUAUGUACAAAAUGAGGUCAAAGUAUGAAUUAGAGUUCAUUUACAAUGAGUAUUAGUGAAAAGAGUUUGAAAAAUCAAAGGCAUAUGGCCUAGGUUUCUAAUUUGAAAACAAAUGUCAAAUGUUUGCACAAAAUGUUUUUCGGUUUGGGUUAGCAUGAAGGUAUGAAGAAG